GACGAACGCUGGCGGCGUGCUUAACACAUGCAAGUCGAACGAAGUGGCGAACGGGUGAGUAAUACGUGGGUAACCUGCCCUCCUUUUUGGGAUAAGCCUUGGAAACGGGGUCUAAUACCGAAUACAGGGGGCUGGGUUCGCGGCCUAUCAGCUUGUUGGUGGGGUGAUGGCCUACCAAGGCGGUGACGGGUAGACGGCCUGAGAGGGUGACCGGCCACAUUGGGACUUGGAUACGGCCGAGACACCUACGGGAGGCAGCAGUGGGGGAUAUGGCACAAUGCGGGAAAGCCUGAUGCAGCGACGCCGCGUGGGGGAUGAAGGCUGUCGGGUUGUAAACCUCUUUCGCUCUCGAUCGGGUAGGUGGAGAAGAAGCGCCGGCUAACUACGUGCCAGCCGCCGCGGUAAUUC
rnacentral:rRNA from 1 species